rnacentral:rRNA from 1 species
GGAUUAGAUACCCUGGUAGUCCACGCCGUAAACGAUGGAUACUAGCUGUCGGGACUUCGGUCUCGGCGGCCAAGCGAAAGUGAUAAGUAUCCCACCUGGGGAGUACGUUCGCAAGAAUGAAACUCAAAGGAAUUGACGGGGGCCCGCACAAGCGGUGGAGCAUGUGGUUUAAUUCGAUGAUACGCGAGGAACCUUACCAGGGCUUAAAUGCGGGCUGCAUGGGACAGAGACGUCCCUUUCUUCGGACCGCCCGCAAGGUGCUGCAUGGUUGUCGUCAGCUCGUGUCG